UCCGUAGGCGGGCGUCUAAUUCAGUGGUGAAAUCUUACAGCUCAACUGUAAAAUUGCCAUUGAUACUGGAUGUCUUGAAUUAGUGUGAAGUGGUUAGAAUGUGUAGUGUAGCGGUGAAAUGCAUAGAUAUUACACAGAAUACCAAUUGCGAAGGCAGAUCACUAACACUAUAUUGACGCUGAGGGACGAAAGCGUGGGGAGCGAACAGGAUUAGUUACCCUGGUAGUCC
rnacentral:rRNA from 1 species